rfam:Pteropus alecto contig168408, whole genome shotgun sequence.
GGCUCCAUAGCGUAGUGGUUAGUAUAUCUGCUUUACACGCAGAAGGCCCUGGGUUCACACUCCAGGUGGAGCCA